GGCCGAACGAGCGGGGCUGGAUCGCCGCAGGCGCUCCGGGGUUGGAGCUGAGUCCGGCGCUGCCGCUCCUGUUCCGGCCGCUCCCGCUGUGGGACCACAGUCCGCCGGGGCUCAGUCCUGCUCCAGCUGCUCAUCCGACACCUGUUGGAGGACAGGAGGUUCUGAGUUGGAAACAGCCAUGAGGAUCAUCAAGUCAAGCCAGGGGCUGCUCUGAACAGGCACCUGGAGAUGCUUCAGCCCAGACAGACCCCACCCACACCCCAAAAAUACCCCAAGGAACAGCUGGCAUUACCUGGGAAUGUUGGCACCGUGCAUUUGCGGAGAGGCUUAGGCAGCAAUUCCCAGUGCUGACCUCCUGGAGCUCCCACACACCCCCAGGAAGAAGCAGGAUUCAAACCUAGAAAGCGAGGAUUACCUGGAAAACGAGAGCGGCGGUCAGGACUGGCUGGACUAACCCUGGUGAGGGAGACAUCUCUACGAAGAUGGAAUCAUUGAUAAAGGACUGGAUCAUUGGGCGCCCGUGUGAUGCGUAUGCUCCAGUGCCAGAAAGACGCGAUGAACCACCAGACAACCUGAAGACGCCCAAAACUCCUGAGCCUGUGAAACCCAAGCGACAACAACUUAUGUGUGUAAUCUUUUAGGACUUGUUAGCAGUGAGCAGGUUAGUGCAGAACAUAACCCCCAUCAACCAUUCAGGUGGAUCUUAUGCCGUGGCUUGAACGAGAUGAUUAAAGAGGUAGUCACAGCAGGCACCCCAAAGUUCUUUGUGCUCAUUCGAGACAUUUUCCCUGGUAUAGUAACUCAUAACAUCCACCCUCGCUUUGAGCUGUACCAGUCAUACUGGUGUCCAGCUACCAACCCAGGCAAAGACUACUGCCGCCAGCUAGGGUAUUGGUUUUGUGGCUAUUGGGGGUGCGAAACAAUAGUCCUGAGCAACCAGUGGGCACCACCAAAAGCAGAUGAGUUUCUGCAAGUAACCUGGGGUCCAGCAGGCUGUAUACAUCCCAGUUUCAACUCCAUAGGGCAAGUGUUUUAUGGCUUUUAUGAUGACCAAUCUAAAGUCUGUCAUCAAAUGAUCAUACAGGUCCUGCAGCCAGCAGAUGUGGGUUGAACCACCGGAAGAAUGUGGUCAGUAGUCUUGCACAAGCCUGGCAAAGAUCCCGGUGAAGUAGUACAAAUUAUCCGACUCCCAGUCAUGACACCUGAAGCAAUUGGCCCCAACCUUGUGGUACAGGCUGAGAACCCACGAUCUAAUAGUCUAUACCCGCUGCAUAAGCGAGAAGCUUUUCCCCAAAGAUCUGAAGUCACUGCUUUUGAUUCGCUCUAUCAAAUGUCAGAGGCCACCUUUUUACCUCUAAAUCAAUCUAACCCCAAUGCCACAGAAUCCUGCUGGCUGUGUUAUGACACACAGCCCCCUUACUAUGAGGCUGUGGCCCUUAACAACCGGCUGAUGUGGUCUAGUGCUGAGGCCCCAGUCCAGUUGCAGUGAGUCACCUUCUCGCAGAAUCACCAUCAGCCACAUGACCGGGCGAGGGUUUUGCAUAGGCAAAGCCACUGUUAUUGACAAAAAAGUCUGUGCGACCACUGUGCAGGUGGACAAGUCUAAGAAAUGGGCAAUCGCCCCCUUGUCUGGCAUGUGGGUUUGCAACUGCAGUGGGCUAAGCCCUUGCAUCUAUACCCAAAGCUUUAACUCCUCUGCUGACUAUUGUGUAUUAGCUGUUAUCAUCCCCAGGGUCCUAUACCACUCCAGAGAAGAAGUGAACCAGUACCUGGAGCAAGCAGGCCACCUUCAGAAAAGAGAGCUGCUGACAGGAAUGUCGGUAGCAAUGCUGCUCGGCUUGGGAGCGACCGGUACGGCCACUGGUGUCUUCGCCCUGGUAACCCAGAGUCAGAGUAACUUCAUCUCAGUUACAGAUGACUGUAGAUGAAGAUCUACAGAGAAUUGAGAAAUCCAUAUCCUUUCUAGAAAA